rnacentral:rRNA from 1 species
UGGGGAAUUUUGCACAAUGGGGGAAACCCUGAUGCAGCGACGCCGCGUGAUUUAGAAGGCCUUCGGGUUGUAAAAAUCUUUUCUAUGGGAAGAAAAUGACAGUACCAUAGGAAUAAGGACCGGCUAAAUACGUGCCAGCAGCCGCGGUAAUACGUAAGGUCCGAGAGUUGUCCGGAAUCAUUGGGCGUAAAGGGUACGUAGGCGGGUAAGCAAGUUAGAAGUGAAAUCCUAUAGCUCAACUAUAGUAAGCUUUUAAAACUGCUCAUCUUGAGGUAUGGAAGGGAAAGUGGAAUUCCUAGUGUAGCGGUGAAAUGCGCAGAUAUUAGGAGGAAUACCGGUGGCGAAGGCGACUUUCUGGCCAUAACCUGACGCUGAGGUACGAAAGCGUGGGUAGCAAACAGG